rnacentral:miRNA from 1 species
UUCGUAGCGGCGUAUAAUGGUUU